AAUUUGUGUGAGGUGUUUAAUGCAAGAUUGGUGGAUGGCAGGGAUAAGCCCAUUAUCAGUGCUCUUGAAUAUGUUAGAGAGUAUUGCAUGAAAAGGAUUGUCAAUGUGCUGAAGGUUAUUGCUAAGACUGAUGGUGUGUUGACUC